rnacentral:rRNA from 1 species
CCGGUAGCUAAAUGCGGAAGAGAUAAGUGCUGAAAGCAUCUAAGCACGAAACUUGCCCCGAGAUGAGUUCUCCCUGAGACUUUAAGUCUCCUGAAGGAACGUUGAAGACGAUGACGUUGAUAGGCCGGGUGUGUAAGCGCAGCGAUGCGUUGAGCUAACCGGUACUAAUGAACCGUGAGGCUUAACCUU